AGAUUGAACGCCGGCGGCAGGCCUAACACAUGCAAGUCGAGCGGUAGAGAGGUGCUUGCAUCUCUUGAGAGCGGCGGACGGGUGAGUAAUGCCUAGGAAUCUGCCUAGUGGUGGGGGAUAACGUUCGGAAACGGACGCUAAUACCGCAUACGUCCUACGGGAGAAAGCGGGGGACCUUCGGGCCUCGCGCCAUUAGAUGAGCCUAGGUCGGAUUAGCUAGUUGGUGAGGUAAUGGCUCACCAAGGCGACGAUCCGUAACUGGUCUGAGAGGAUGAUCAGUCACACUGGAACUGAGACACGGUCCAGACUCCGUACGGGAGCAGCAGUGGGAAUAGUUGGACAAGUGGG
rnacentral:rRNA from 1 species